UACGUAGGGGGCGAGCGUUGUCCGGAUUUAUUGGGCGUAAAGAGCGUGUAGGCGGCCAGGUAGGUCUGCUGUGAAAACUCGAGGCUCAACCUCGAGACGUCGGCGGAAACCAUCUGGCUAGAGUCCGGAAGAGGAGAGUGGAAUUCCUGGUGUAGCGGUGAAAUGCGUAGAUAUCGGGAGGAACACCUGAGGCGAAGGCGGGCUACUGGGCCGAUACUGACGCUGAUGCGCGAAAGCCAGGGGAGCGAACGGG
rnacentral:rRNA from 1 species